UCAUUAGUUCAUUGUUUCGAAGGUCAACUUGCCGUGAUUGCAAAAUACACUUUCGUAUUUUUCUCUUUAUUGUUCAAGACAAGAAUUAUAUAAACAACCAUAAUGUCGACAAUAAUUGAAGAUGAACAAAUGAAUAAUCAGCGAGUGUUGCCUCGGAUAGUUCUGAUAGCCUGUGGUUCCUUCAGCCCACCGACACCAAUGCACUUUCGCAUGUUCGAAAUUGCCCGUGAUUAUUACAAAACACAAGGAACACAUCACGUCAUUGGUGGCAUCGUUUCACCCACACACGAUUCAUACCAGAAAAAAGGACUCGUUGCUGGUACACAUCGAUUUGCUAUGUUAAAAUUAGCAUUGCAAUCCUCAACAUGGAUUAAACCCUCAGACUGGGAAAUACAGCAAACGGAAUGGUCACGCACAAUCUCCGUUCUGCAGUACCAUCAAAACUAUAUAAAUAACUAUAUCAAUUCACCACUAGAAAGUGACAUGAACGGUACUCUACCUAGUUGGAUGCCUCCCGGUUUGCGUGAGCGGCAGGAUGGUGUACAAUUGAAAUUGCUGUGUGGAGCUGAUUUACUAGAAUCAUUUGCAGUGCCGGGGUUAUGGGCAGAUAAGGAUAUUGAAGAUAUUGUUGGCAAUCAUGGUUUAGUGGUUAUCUCACGUAAUGGCUCUAAUCCUGAAAAAUUCAUUUUCGAGUCAGAUAUGUUGACAAAAUAUCAGAAACAUAUUACGUUAAUAACGAAUUGGGUACUAAACGAGAUGAGUUCAACAUUAAUACGACGUCUUAUUUCGCGCGAUCAGUCUGUGAAAUACUUGCUUGAUGACAGGGUCAUUGACUAUAUUCAAAUGCAAGGAUUAUUUAAUUGUAAAACGUGACAUAAUACUACCGUAAAUAAAGCUCUUUCCGACAACAUCACUCCGCCUUAUAAAAUUACAAGUUUAAAAAGCAGUUUCAUGCGAUUAAAAAUUGCAGAAACAAACCGACAACCUGUCACAUUUAAGUGGAAACUAUUAAUGGAGAUUUCAAUUUAGAUAACCGUAAGCCGUCAAGCAUGAACGUGUUUUGUUGUGGU
rnacentral:misc_RNA from 1 species